AUUCUCUAGUUGGAGUGGCGCAAGGGUGUGUAAUACGUGGGUAAUUUGUCGUGAAGACUGGGAUAACUCGCUGAAAGGCGAGUUAAUACCGGGUAAGAAUAUUGGGGGGUAUCCCUCGAUAUUGGAAGCUGGGGACCUGUAAGGGCCUGGCGCUUCACGAUGAGCCCGCGGCCUAUCAGUUAGUUGGUGAGGUAAUGGCUCACCAAGGCUAAGAUGGGUAGCUGGUCUGAGAGGAUGACCAGCCACACUGGAAUUGAGAUAUGGUCCAGACACCUAUGGGUGGUAGCAGUCGAGAAUUUUUUAUAAUGGGCGUAAGCCUGAUGGAGCGACGCCGCGUGGGGGAUGAAGGGUUUUGAUCCGUAAACCCCUGUCAUUUGCGAACAAACCUUAUGGAAUAAUACUCCAUGAGUUGAUUGUAGCGGAAGAGGAAGGGACGGUUAACUCUGUGUUAGUAGUUGUGGUAAUACAGAGGUCCCAAGCGUUGUUCGGAUUCACUGGGCGUAAAGGGUGCGUAGGUGGCCAGGUAAGUUUGGUGUGAAAGUUCGGAGUUUAACUCCGAAAAGUCAUUGAAUAUUAUCUGGCUGGAGGGUCGGAAGGGAGACUGGAAUUCUCGGUGUAGCAGUGAAAUGCGUAGAUAUCGAGAGGAAUACCAGUGGUGAAGGUGAGUUUCUGGACGACAUCUGAUACUGAGGCACGAAAGCUAGGGGAGUAAACAGGAUUAGAUAUCCUGGUAGUCCUAGCUGUAAAUGGUGCACGUUUGCUGUAAGAGGAAUUGAUUCCUUUUGUGGCGAAGCUAAUGUGCUAAACGUGCCGCCUGGGGAGUACGGUUGCAAGAUUAAAACUCAAAGAAAUUGACGGGGGCCUGCACAAGCGGUGGAGUAUGUGGCUUAAUUCGAUACUAUGUGAAGAAUUUUACCUGGCCUUGAUAUGCACGUAGUAGGAGCGUGAAAGCGCAACGAUCCCGUAAGGGAAGCGUGCACAGGUGCUGUAUGGCUGUCGUCAGCUCGUGUUGUGAGAUGUUGGGUUAAGUCCCGCAACGAGCGUAAUCCUUGUGUUCUGUUGUUAUCCAAACGAGAGUUUGGAGUAUUUUGGACAGACUGUCUCGUUUAAACGAGGAGGAAGGUGGGGAUGACGUCAAGUCAGGAUGGCUCUUAUGGCCAGGGCUGCACACGUACUACAAUGCCUGGUAUAAAGGGAAGCGAUACCGUUAGGUGGAGUAAAUCCCAAAAAACCAGGCUUAGUUCAGAUUGUCGGCUGUAAUUUGCCGACAUGAAGCUGGAAUCGUUAGUAAUGGCGCAUUAGUUAUGGUGCCGUGAAUACGUUUCCAGGUCUUGUACACACCGCCCGUCACAUCAUGAAAGCCGGUUGUACCUGAAGUUGUCGUGUUAACUCGUAAGAGAGACAGACGCCGAAGGUAUGGCUGGUGAUUGGGAUGAAGUUGGAAUAAGGUA
rnacentral:rRNA from 1 species